rnacentral:snRNA from 1 species
GCUCACUUCAGCAGAACAUAUACUAAAACUGGAAUGCUACAGAGAAGAUUAGCACAGCCCCUGUGCAAGGAUGACACGCAAGUUUGUGAAGCAUUCACAUUACAA